rnacentral:lncRNA from 1 species
UUUCCCAUCGUGCUGAGGCGGGUGGCAUGGCGGAGAAGGAUGACACCGGAGUUUGACGAAGAGGUGGUUUUUGAGACAUUAAAACUACCACUACUAUGGAAGUACCACUACUAGAUGGAAGUUUGACCUGGACAUGGUGGCUCACACUUGUAAUCCCAGCACUUUGAGAGGCCAAGGCAGCAGAGCCCUUGCUAGAAGCCAGUGGCAUGCUCUUGAACUUCCCAGCCUGCAGAACUAUGAGCUAAAAUUCUCCACUUUACCAAUACUUACAGGAUCUGGGACACACAGACUUUGAAAUAUGUUCUUCUUUGUCACCAAAAACAGAAAAAUGCACAACAGAGGGACAACAAAAGCCUCCUACAAGAGUCCUACCAAAAUACCUGGGAUAUAGUAAUCACUCAAUGAAUAUAAACUGCACUUACUGGCAUGCUCAAGGAAUGGGCUAUUAAGCAAGGUAUCCUGUUAAAAGUGGCUGAAACCAUCAAAAGUUGGAUUUUUUUUUCUCAGUGCAAUAAGAAAGAUGACUUACUUCACAAGUUG